rnacentral:rRNA from 1 species
GCUUCAGGCCUAACACAUGCAAGUCGAGCGAGAAAGCCCGCAAGGGUGAGUACAGCGGCGCACGGGUGCGUAACACGUGAGUAAUCUGCCCUGGAGCCCGGAAUAACUCCCCGAAAGGGGUGCUAAUGCCGGAUGAGCCCACGGGGUCUUCGGACCUUGAGGGAAAAGGUGGCCUCUGUAUACAAGCUAUCACUUCAGGAUGAGCUCGCGGCCCAUCAGCUAGUUGGCGGGGUAAUGGCCCACCAAGGCUACGACGGGUAGCUGGUCUGAGAGGACGAUCAGCCACACUGGAACUGAGACACGGUCCAGACUCCUACGGGAGGCAGCAGUGGGGAAUCUUGCGCAAUGGGCGAAAGCCUGACGCAGCAACGCCGCGUGUGUGAUGAAGGUCUUCGGAUCGUAAAGCACUGUCGCGAGGGACGAAUAAGGGUCGGGUGAACAAUCCGGUCCGAUGACGGUACCUCGAGAGGAAGCACCGGCUAACUCUGUGCCAGCAGCCGCGGUAAUACAGAGGGUGCAAGCGUUGUUCGGAAUUAUUGGGCGUAAAGCGCGUGUAGGCGGCCAUGCAAGUUGGGUGUGAAAGCCCUCGGCUUAACCGAGGAAGUGCGCCCAAAACUACAAGGCUUGAGU